rnacentral:tRNA from 1 species
AGAGAGAUGACUGAGUGGCUUAAGGUACUCGCUUGGAAAGCGAGAGGAGGCAUAGCUUCCCGCAGGUUCGAAUCCUGUUCUCUCUG